GUCAUAUGCUUGUCUUAAAGAUUAAGCCAUGCAUGUCUAAGUAUAAGCUUUUAUUAUACGGCGAAACUGCGAAUGGCUCAUUAAAACAGUUAUAGUUUAUUUGAUAGUCGAUAUAUACUACAUGGAUAACCGUGGUAAUUCUAUGGCUAAUACAUGCGCAAAUACUGUACUGUCACAUACUGUGAUGGUACAGUAGUGUUAUUAGAUACAGAACCAACAAUACACCAUUAUUACUACUUUUGUAGUGGUGGUGUAAGAAGAAAGGGUGAUUCAUAGUAACCGAACGGAUCGCAUAUUGUAAUCAUUUCGGUGAUUGGCGAUAGAUCAUUCAAGUUUCUGACCUAUCAGCUUUCGACGGUAGUGUAUUGGACUACCGUGGCAGUGACGGGUAACGGGGAAUUAGGGUUCGAUUCCGGAGAGGGAGCCUGAGAAACGGCUACCACAUCUAAGGAAGGCAGCAGGCGCGCAAAUUACCCAAUCCUGACUCAGGGAGGUAGUGACAAGAAAUAACAACACUGGAAAUUGUAUUUCUAGUGAUUGGAAUGAUGGGAAUCCAAACCCCUUUCAGAGUAACAAUUGGAGGGCAAGUCUGGUGCCAGCAGCCGCGGUAAUUCCAGCUCCAAUAGCGAUAUUAAAGUUGUUGCAGUUAAAAAGCUC
rnacentral:rRNA from 1 species